rnacentral:rRNA from 1 species
GACGAACGCUGGCGGCGUGCUUAACACAUGCAAGUCGAACGAUGAAGCCGGAGCUUGCUCUGGUGAAUUAGUGGCGAACGGGUGAGUAACACGUGAGUAACCUGCCCUUGACUCUGGGAUAACUGCGGGUAACUGUAGCUAAUACCGGUUAAGACCCUCGGAGGCAUCUCCUGGGGGAGGAAAGCAUUUCGGUCAAGGAUGGACUCGCGGCCUAUCAGCUAGUUGGUGAGGUAACGGUUCACCAAGGCGACGACGGGUAGCCGGCCUGAGAGGGUGACCGGCCACACUGGGACUGAGACACGGCCCAGACUCCUACGGGAGGCAGCAGUGGGGAAUAUUGCACAACGGGCGCAAGCCUGAUGCAGCAACGCCGCGUGAGGGAUGACGGCCUUCGGGUUGUAAACCUCUUUUAGCAGGGAAGAAGCGAAAGUGACGGUACCUGCAGAAAAAGCACCGGCUAACUACGUGCCAGCAGCCGCCGUAA